UAAAGGCUCACCACGGCAUCCAUUAGCAGCUGGUCUGAGAGGACGACCAGCCACACUGGGACAGAAACACGGCCCAGACUCCUACGGGAGGCAGCAGUGGGGAAUUUUGUACAAUGGGCGCAAGCCUGAUCCACCAAUGCCUCAUGAGUGAAGAACGCCUUCGGGUUGUAAAGCUCUUUUGUCAGGGAAGAAACGGCUCUGGAUAAUACCUGGGGCUAAUGACGGUACCUGAAGAAUAAGCACCGGCUAACUACGUGCCAGCAGCCGCGGUAAUACGUAAGGUGCCAGCGUUAAUCCGAAUUACUGGGCCUGCAGCCUGCGCAAGCGGUCGUGUAAGACAGGUGUGAAAUCCCCGGGCUUCACCCGGGGAAUGGCCUUUGUGACUGCACGGGCAUGGGUGUGGUCAGAGGGGGGGUCUAACUUCCUCAUGUAACAAUGGACAUG
rnacentral:rRNA from 1 species